AAGCAUACGAUGCGUAGGUACUCUAAACAUUACAUAAUUUCUAUGUUCUUGAGCAUUUAUUAAAAUAUGCGAUCUUAAAAAUCACACAACGUAAAUCUAAUUAAAUUCGGAGAUUCAGUGCAGUUGAGAUUUUAUCGUUUCAGUCGUUUUGAACCUAUUCUUUAAUCUCAUAAAAGUUAUUAAACAAGUAAAUGUAAAUAAUUACGACAUUGAAGUUCUUACAAAGAAAAAAGGAGAAAAAGAGAAUUAAAAAAUACAUGAAAUACAAAUACAAAUAAACUCGUAAUACAUAUUCUCAUAAAUACGGAGAAGUUUUGUGCAAUACGAAUUCGAAUAUCGUUGAUAUUGUGUGCCAUUAAAAAUGAUAUCGAUUUCUUCGCAUUAUCGUAAAUAAAUUUACGAUUCCCUAUCCUCAGAAAUUUCUUAUAAUCCAUUAAAUUAUUUCGAUUGGUCUUUCGAGUGGUUCUCUUUAUGCGUUAAGAAUUAUACAAAAUAAGAAAGAAUGAUAUAAAAUGAUAUCGAUCGAUCUUGGCACAAAGUAGAACAACGAUAUCAGUUAUUGCGUUUGAAUAUUAUAUGGAAAAAUUGGACGAAGAAGGACCCUGAAUACAGAACGCAGAUCAUUUUAGGCUUUAUAUCUAUCCGACGUUCCGCUUGCGCAGCAUAAAAUCAAGGCAAAUAUCAAACCUAGAAGUUCAAGGAUACCGACGGCUAUCGCAACGCCGAUUACAAUACAACUUUGACUUUUCAAUGCUUCCACCAAUUUGUCUAUGCAUCCCUGAAAUCAUAAGUGAUAAUUAGCACAUCGUAAGAUGCUUUUUCUCAUCAGACUAACGACAGAGAGAUGAUACUUUACCUGUGGAUCAUUAAAUAAUAAAAAAAACAACAAUAUUCUAAGUUACCUCGUUAUAUAUAGCAGGACUAAUUAUAUCUGCUAUUUUGAGAUUACGAGCUAAAUCGCAAGCUACACUGUCCUUAUCCUUGCAACAGGAUUUCGGUACUUUGUACGCAUUGUUCGAUUUUGAUGAAACGGUUAAACUAAGAGGAAUGGAAGAAUCGAAAUUGGCAAAUGUACUGCCAGCCCAAUCAGCUGGUCCUGUAGCUCCACAACAUCCAAGACCCGAUUGAAAGGCAUCCACUGUUUGAGUACGAACAUCGACGGAUCCAUACUCCUUCUAAAAAAGAAAAAAAUGAUUUUACGAGCUCUUCGAGACGUUCACUGUUGGUAUAGAGCCAAACACCAGCGGCAAUUUGUGCAACUAUUACGACCAAUAGACAACUGAAAAAGCCUACGAGCAUACAUUGAGAUUCACGAAAGGCUCCGCAACAUCCAAGGAAGGCUACCACAAGCAUGACGAGUCCAGCAGCUAGCAAGAUGUAAAGGCCUGCGUUGAAAUUGUGUUGUUCUUGUGCCAAGGACACGAGAAAGGUUUGAUCGGUUAACAUCCAUAUCGCCAGGACCACUGCUGCUAAUCCAACCGCCUGAAGAGAAUCGAAAGGGAAAAAAAAAACAAAUUACUCCUCCCGGGAGAUAGAAUAGCAAUGACGUAACGAAAAAGGAAAAGCUCACCAGUAAUAAGAAAAAUAUGUAAAAAAAAUUUGUAUAUCUUGUUAAUAUUUAUUACGUUUUAAUAUAUGUGAUCGAGCCAAUAUCUCUGUUGGAUAGAUUUAUUAUUCUAAGUACAUUCUACUUAUCUAUGUCAUACUUCAAUACUUCCUAACCUCUCAUAAAACUAGGUUAGAGCGUAGGCCGGGAGCAUAUUCGUUGUAUGACGAGAAGCCUAUAUUUAAACGUGUUUAUGUUUAUAAAUAAAGAUUUCGUGAAGGCGAAAUAAUCGUGAGAAAUAAAUAAAAUGUUCAUUUCGUGUGCAUUCCGAUUAGUGGGAUUUCAUUGAGAUGCGGUAUUAUAUACCUUUCAAAUGCAAAAGAAGGAAAGAAAAAAAAUAAAAAAGAAAAAAAAAACAGAAAAAGAAAAUGCGAAUAAGAGUAGAGUAAUAUUGCAAAAUGAGUUUUCGUUGAGCCCAGAUGUAAUCAAUACAGCUGCGCUAGAAUUACUCUUGCUGGGAGAUAGAAUAGCAAUGACGUAACGAAAAAGAAAAAGGCCCAACGGUAAUAAGAUUAUUAUUUCAUGAUAUCACGAAUGAAGAAAUAUAUUUGUUGCUUCUUAUUCAUUUUCAUCUACUUCAUCAUUUUUAUCGCUUAGCGAUAUUAAAGUGAGUCAUAAUAGUAUUUCCGGCACAUAAGACGAUGAUGAUUUCGAUUAAUUAUUACGUAGUACGAGGAAGAGAAAAAGGAAUUUCCAUUAGAAUUAUGUACGUGACCUGAAACCUGACUCUUACGAGGAAGUCUCUGCACCAAAAGGACUGCCCAUUGACGGGUUUUACCGAACGAAAGGAACUUUUGAAAGAGGAAAAGGAAAGAAAUAAACAAAUGAAUAAAGAGAAACAGAUGUUGGGAUCUGCGUUUGACUGAAAGCUCUUUUAAAAAUGAAAAAUAAUGGAAAAAGAAUAAUACACGUAGUGUUCCAUAUAUAUACGCUUGACGACCCAUUUCAACGUAGCAUGUUUGCCUUUUUUGCUCCCCUUUUAUUUUAUAUACAUAUUACAUAUAUAAUACAUCUAUGUAUUUAUUUUUUCUUUUUUCUGUAGUUUCUAAAGCUUUUGUUCUUUUCUUUUGUCUAAUGAAGUGUAGCCACUCCUUGUUAUAUGGUAACGUAAACGAUCCCUAACUACAUGAGUUUUAUCGAUAAUCUCUUACUCUUUAUCGAUAAAUUCGAUCGUUUGCGUUUAUGUGCGAGUAUGCGCGCUUGUCCUUUUUAACGCUCCGUUGUGAUUUUAUCGUAAGAGAAAAAACAGCAAAAAAGACGAGAAAAUACUUGGAUACAAAACAAAGAAGUUAAAGAUUCUUAUACAUUUACUCGAAACAUUUACGAUGUUUGAAUAGUAGAUAAAUGCGUGAGUACAUAUGAUGCGUGAAUUGUAAGAUACAUUUUAGAUAUAAAUUUGUCCUUCAAGCAUGAAUUGCGUUGCAUAUAUAAAUAAAACGAAAAUAUAUUCCUUGAAGAAACAACCAGCCUAAAGCAUCAUCGAAGAACUGUAAUAUAAUAUAAACGUGUAUAUACAACUGUAUAUACACUUUUGUAUAUACAGUUAUAUAUAUAUAUACUAUAUAUUCACGUUUGUAUUAUAUAAUUAAAUGUAGAAUUGUAAUAUAAUACAACAGUGUAUAUACAAUGUGAUACAAAAUACCGAACAUAUGGUUAUAUAUAUGUAUAUCACGUAUUUAUCACGUAUAUAUAUAUAUAUAUCAAAUCAUACUACACAUGUUUGUUGGACACAGCCUCUUAAAAAUAUUUUUUUGUAUUUUUCUUUUUUUAAUAAAUUUCAAUUGAUAAAUUUUUAUAGAAGAAAUGUAUAUAUAUUAUAACCUAUACCGAGGUAAUUAUCAGCAAUUAUUCAUAAAUCGCAUUAUGAUGAAAUUUCAAGAUCUUAGAGGAGACUUCUCAUUGGUUGAAUAUAUAACGAGAGAAUCAAUCCAAAGGGAGAUGACCAAAAUAAACUCACCCAAAAGACAAGAUUUACCCACACGAGGGCGUAUUUAAUAAAUCCGUAACACUUGGGAAGCACCAUGUUUUCUUGUUUUUCUUUCUUUUUUUUUAUCUGUUCUUUUUCUUUUUCCUUUUUUCUUUUUGAUUGCUCUUAAACGCGCGUUAAAGAAUCGUUGUUAAAAAGACACAGUGAAAAAUUGCGUUUUUGACACUGUUUUUGUACGUCUCUCUUAAUCGUAAAUGAACACCAUAAAAUAUUUCUCGACACUAAGCGACACUUUCAAACGUUAUUACUAACAAAUUUCACAAAAUUUCUGAUGUUUCUUUACGUUUGGUUAGGUCAAAAUGCGAAUGAAAAAUAUGAACUACACUCCACGCCACGCAACGCGUCGCGGUCGACUGCCAAUCGACAGCGUUAUGCGUUGCUUCCAUGGCCGCGCGCGCCAUGGAUUUUCACGGUGAAGGCGUGCUCAUCUCAUUCGAAAAGCGUACUGACGUCAACCGUUAAAAGUAAAAAUUACAUUGCAUUCACGAUAUACAUAUGUCCUUCCUCUUUUCUAUUUACUCCUGCGCACGCGCUUUUCUCUUUUGAAUUUUGGAAGAUAUCUAUUAACUUUAAUUUUCGUUUUCGUUUAAUACGAUUUAAAUCGAAUCUUUUUAUGUGACUAUAAUCUAUGAUAAAUAUUAUUACAAACGUAUGGAAAAGUUAUUUAAAGAAUACAAGAGUUCUUAAUAGUACAUUGACUAUAAUGUUUGUACUUUGUGCUAGAAUCGGUAAGGUGUUGGAUAAAAAGAAGUGAUUCUUUGUCUAUGUUAACAAACAUGGUCGAGUGUAGGUACAAUGAUAACAAAGGGAUAAUAUAAGUGUCUUAUCGUUCACGGAAUGUUCUUCAUCGUAUACUAUUUUUAAUGGAUAAAUAUAUUUUUUAUACAUUUUACUUUGGUAUUAAUAUAUUCUAUCUAAUCCUUCCACCUCUUUCGUUUUAUCGAUAUUGCC